CCUACGGGAGGCUGCAGUGGGGAAUAUUGCACAAUGGGGGAAACCCUGAUGCAGCAACGCCGCGUGAAGGAAGACGGUUUUCGGAUUGUAAACUUCUGUUCUUAGUGAAGAAUAAUGACGGUAGCUAAGGAGCAAACCACGGCUAACUACGUGCCAGCAGCCGCGGUAAUACGUAGGGGGCAAGCGUUGUCCGGAAUUACUGGGUGUAAAGGGAGCGCAGGCGGGAAGCCAAGUCAGCUGUGAAAACUACGGGCUUAACUUGUAGACUGCAGUUGAAACUGGUUUUCUUGAGUGAAGUAGAGGUUGGCGGAAUUCCGGGUGUAGCGGUGAAAUGCGUAGAUAUUCGGAGGAACACCGGUGGCGAAGGCGGCCAACUGGGCUUUAACUGACGCUGAGGCUCGAAAGUGUGGGGAGCGAACAGGAUUAGAUACCCUGGUAGUC
rnacentral:rRNA from 1 species